GACAGAGGGUGCAAACGUUGUUCGGAAUUACUGGGCGUAAAGCGAGUGUAGGCGGUUUGGUAAGUCGGAUGUGAAAGCCCCGGGCUCAACCCGGGAAGUGCACUCGAUACUGCCAAGCUAGAGUAUCGGAGAGGUUGGUGGAAUUCUCGGUGUAGAGGUGAAAUUCGUAGAUAUCGAGAGGAACACCGGUGGCGAAGGCGGCCAACUGGACAGAUACUGACGCUGAGACACGAAAGCGUGGGGAGCAAACAGG
rnacentral:rRNA from 1 species